rnacentral:rRNA from 1 species
AUUGAACGCUGGCGGCAUGCUUUACACAUGCAAGUCGAACGGCAGCGGGGAGGAGCUUGCUUCUCUGCCGGCGAGUGGCGAACGGGUGAGUAAUACAUCGGAACGUGUCGAGAAGAGGGGGAUAACCACCCGAAAGGGUGGCUAAUACCGCAUAAAUUCUGAGGAAGAAAGCUGGGGACCUAGGAAUAGGCCUAGCGCUUUUUGAGCGGCCGAUGUAGGAUUAGCUAGUUGGUGAGGUAAAGGCUCACCAAGGCGACGAUCUGUAGCGGGUCUGAGAGGAUGAUCCGCCACACUGAGACUGAGACACGCCCCAGACUCCUACGAGAGGCAGCAGUGGGGAAUUUUGGACAAAGGGGGCAACCCUGAUCCAGCCAUGCCGCGUGUAUGAAGAAGGCCUUAGGGUUGUAAAGUACUUUUGUUAGGGAAGAAAAGUCAGCUGUGAAUAAUGGCUGAUACUGACGGUACCUAAAGAAUAAGCACCGGCUAACUACGUG